rnacentral:rRNA from 1 species
UCGGGAAUUUUGGGCAAUGGGGGAAACCCUGACCCAGCAACGCCGCGUGAAGGAUGAAGUAUUUCGGUAUGUAAACUUCGAAAGAAUAGGAAGAAUAAAUGACGGUACUAUUUGUAAGGUCCGGCUAACUACGUGCCAGCAGCCGCGGUAAUACGUAGGGACCAAGCGUUGUUCGGAUUUACUGGGCGUAAAGGGCGCGUAGGCGGCAUGACAAGUCACUUGUGAAAUCUCUGGGCUUAACCCAGAACGGCCAAGUGAUACUGUCGCGCUAGAGUGCAGAAGGGGCAAUCGGAAUUCUUGGUGUAGCGGUGAAAUGCGUAGAUAUCAAGAGGAACACCUGAGGUGAAGACGGGUUGCUGGGCUGACACUGACGCUGAGGCGCGAAAGCCAGGGGAGCAAACGGGAUUAGAUACCCACGUAGUCCCUGAGCGGGCUGGCAAGGCGCAU